GCCUUCGUGGUGUAAUGGUCAGCACACUCGGCGCGUAUUCGAGAUGUCCCAGGUUCGAGUCCCGGCGAGGGCA
rnacentral:tRNA from 1 species